UAUGUGGCCUCGAGUCAAUCAUCAUGUGUUGUUGAUGAGUUGCAAAUCGAAGCACCAACUUGUUGGUGUGGGUUGAAAGCCCCAUUGAAGACUUCCCAUACUAACAAAAUUCCUGGAAGGAAAUUUUACGCCUGCCCGAAGUAUAAUACGGGAGAAGAAAUGUGUCAAUUCUUUAUAUGGGCAGAUAUACUUCAAUUGGUAGAGGA